CUCUCUCGAUCCCCCUUCGUCCUCUUCCUUCGUCACUCGAAAUCGAGCUCAGAAAACUCAUGGUCACCACUGUCCCGUCGUUAUUGUCACGACCACUAGCAUUUAGGGCGUGCGGGAGCACGUCCAGGAGGUCCGCCGCGGCCAUCUUCGUCCGUACCGGGAACCAGAUCAAGCCGAGACUGUCCAUGUGCUCGCCAUCGAGCCCUUCUCUUCCGCGGACGUCACCACCUCGUCGGCGUUGCCACUGCUCCGGGCCACCUCCGACCUUCUAAGCUCGUCCACGAGAACCGGGGUGAGCUUCCCCCUCGGAUCCUACUUUUCCCCCUUCAAUUUGGACGCGUAGGCCACCAUCACCGUCGUGCCCCGCGUACGCGUACAUGCGUGUAGAUGCUGCUCUGCUUCGUUGCACUGCUGCUCGCACUUGAUGCUGCUCUUCACACUGCUGCCGCUUGUGCUGCAUCACUUCCUGCUGCCGCCGACGCCCGCUCACCCUCGUCCCGUCGCUCGCUUCCGCCGCCACGCCCGCGGCCACGGCGCCCGACCACGCCGCUCGCGACCCACGACCGGCCUCCAUGUACAGACGCCCUGGCGCCCGCCUCCACCACUGCUCCAGCCACGCCCCUACGCCUUGUCUCGCCCCAGGCCGGCCCUGCGCGCGCAUGCUGCCGCUAGCCGUUGCCGCCGGCUGCUGCUACAGCUGACCAUGGCCGAGCGGCCGUGCGUGUUGUGCGUGCGUGCAGUGUGUGUGUGCGCUGAGUGUGUGGCCGCGCCCACCUCCGGCCUUGCCCGCCUUUGGCUGGCCUCGCCGCGCCGCCACUGCCGCUCCCUGCUACUGCUCUGCCCGCUGCACUCAGCUACUGCUCCUCUGCUACAGUACCGUUCAGUUACUGUAGCAGUAGCCAGCUUUGCAGCUAUUACACUCACUAGCCCUCUUGACAACCCCUAAACUACAACUAAACAAAAGUUAAUAUGCGUAAAAUUCAUAUGGGCGUGUAGUACACUUAACAGGGUUCGAUUCUUUCCAUUGGACCAAAUCCAAAAGUCGCCUAGAUUAAUUCCUAUGAAAAUGACAAAAGUCUAUGUUCAGUUAACAGAAAAGACUGAAAACAGAGUUAUUGUGGUAGCUACCUUAGAGCAGAAAAUAAACAGGAUACAUAGAUCUAACAGAGAUGCAAUUGAUGCCAUCUUGUAGAUCAUAGAAAAUUGAUCAAGAUUGGUAUUAGGCACUAAUUCAUAGAAUGUGCAGAACACUAGUUAUAGCCUCUGGAAAACAUCUAAGUGAAGUUUAAAGACUGAACCAUUCUCAGAGUUGGCCAAUUUUCAGGAAUUCCAAAUAACUAUUUAAAUCUCCGGAAAUUUGCAGAAAAUAAACCGUAGCUCGGAUCGAAAAACUUUCUACAUGAAAGUUGAUCAGAAAAACGAGAUGAAUCCGACCGUGCCGUCUGUUUCCUUGUCGGGACCCUCUACGGAGGUGAGACCGCAACUUGUUGCCCGUUUCUGGUAGAUGAAUAGUGCAUAUGUUAGCAUAGCAUGCUCCGUGUUGCAUAUAUUUGUUGUGUAUAUAUUUGUUUCCUCCCCCUCUUCUCUCUCGAUAGAUCCCGGUAUCGAUGCAGUCCCCGAGACCGACGCAGCUCCGGAGACCGACUACACCGUUGACGACCCUGCUUUUGGCGCAGAGCUUCCACGCAAGCAAACCCCCCUUGUUCAUUCCGAUAUCGCCCAUUUCGUUCCCUCUCUUACUUGCAUUAGAACUGCUACUG
rnacentral:lncRNA from 1 species